AUUGAACGCUGGCGGCAUGCCUUACACAUGCAAGUCGAACGGUAACAGGUCUUCGGAUGCUGACGAGUGGCGAACGGGUGAGUAAUACAUCGGAACGUGCCCGAUCGUGGGGGAUAACGAAGCGAAAGCUUUGCUAAUACCGCAUACGAUCUACGGAUGAAAGCAGGGGACCGCAAGGCCUUGCGCGAACGGAGCGGCCGAUGGCAGAUUAGGUAGUUGGUGGGAUAAAAGCUUACCAAGCCGACGAUCUGUAGCUGGUCUGAGAGGACGACCAGCCACACUGGGACUGAGACACGGCCCAGACUCCUACGGGAGGCAGCAGUGGGGAAUUUUGGACAAUGGGCGAAGGCCUGAUCCAGCCAUGCCGCGUGCAGGAUGAAGGCCUUCGGGUUGUAAACUGCUUUUGUACGGAACGAAAAGACUCUGGUUAAUACCUGGGGUCCAUGACGGUACUGUAAGAAUAAGCACCGGCUAACUACGUGCCAGCAGCCGCCGUAAUAC
rnacentral:rRNA from 1 species